rnacentral:rRNA from 1 species
GACGAACGCUGGCGGCGUGCUUAACACAUGCAAGUCGAACGGAAAGACCCUGAUUUUGUGGGGUGCUCGAGUGGCGAACGGGUGAGUAACACGUGAGUAACCUGCCCUUGUCUUUGGGAUAACAUCAGGAAACUGGGGCUAAUACCGGAUAGGAUAUCCUGCACCAUGGUGGGGGUUGGAAAGUUUCGGCGGUUGGGGAUGGACUAGCGGCUUAUGAGCUUGUUGGUGGGGUAGUUGCUUACCAAGCCUUUGACGGGUAGGCGGCCUGGGAGCGCGGCCGGGCACCAGAGGACUACGGGACGGCGCAGUCGCGUACGGGAGGCAGAGGUGGGGAGUAUUGCACAACGGGCCGGAGUCUGAUGCGGCAACGCCCCGUGCGGGAUGACGGCCUUCGGGUUGUGAACCGCUGUCGCCUGAGACGAAGCGGUAGUGACGGUAAUGAAUAAAGAAGCACCGGCUAACUACGUG